AUGAGUGGCUGGAAGGAGAGGAUGCUUUCUUUUGAGGGGAAAGAAGUGUUGCUGAAGGCUGUUAUUCAAGCCAUCCCAUCGUAUGCCAUGCUUGUGUUCAAACUCCCAAAACAGAUUUGCAACGCAAUAAUUUCUGCUAUGUCUCAGUUUUGGUGGGAAGAUGAGGAUGUGAAGAAGCACAUGCACUGGUUUGCAUGGUGGAAGAUGUGUGUACCUAAGAGCAUGGGUGGAAUGGGUUUCAGAGAUGUGCAUUGUUUUAACCUGGCCCUCCUAGCGAAUCAAUGCUGGCGACUGCUCGCAGAACCAGAAUCACUAUGUGCGAGAGUCUUGAGAGAAAAAUAUUUUCCAGAUGGUGAUCUACUUAACUGCACUCUUAAAAAAGGUAGUUCUUUCACUUGGCAGAGUCUAUGGAGUGGUAUUCAGACUUUCAAGAAGGGUCAUAUUUGGAGAGUUGGAGAUGGUACGCAAAUAAAUAUUUGGGAUGAUCCUUGGGUCCCUAGCAGCCCAAGCAGGAAGGUGAUGACCCGAAGAGGUAAUGUUGUUCUCACAAAAGUUUCUGAACUUAUUGAUAUGAAGAAUAGAUGUUGGGAUGAAGAACUGAUCCGACAGGUGUUAUGGCCUAUUGAUGCCAAUAGGAUCUUGAGUAUUCCUCUUGCUAUAGGAAUGAUGGAGGAUUUUGUUUCAUGGCACUACAACAAAACGGGGUUUUUCUCGGUU
rnacentral:rRNA from 1 species